AUGGCCGAUUACACAUUUUUUAGAUCAAGCACGAGCAAUGCUAUUCAACAGACGAUGCCAGAUACCACACAUCGGUGGUGCAAGUGGCAUGUGCUUCGGAAGGCGAAGGAGCACCUCGGGCCGCACUACACUAAACGCAGUGAUUUUAGGGCUACGUUACACAAGGUGGUUAAUGAGAUGCUCACUAUUGACGAGUUCGAAGAGGCCUGGGCCGGACUACUUGACAGAUACAAGCUUCAUAACAACACGUUUUUGAUCCAAAUAUUUGAGGUUAGGCACAAGUGGGCGAAGCCUUAUUUUAGUGGCAAAUUUUGCGCAAAGCAAACCAGUACGCAAAGGAGCGAAAGCGCGAACCAUCUGUUGAAGGGCUACAUCCCGCCUGCAUGCCCGAUGAACCUUUUUGUGAAGCAGUACAGCAAGCUGCAGUUUGAUCGGGAGGCUGAAGAAGGGUUCCAAGAGAAGAGAACCAGGCUGGGUGGUGUAGUUCUCGGAUACAAUUUCCCAUUGGAGGAGCAUGCGAGCCAAGUAUAUACCCGGACGAUGUACGAGAUGUUUGGUCAGGCUUUGUAUCGGGCAGGUAGGUAUGAUGUUGAGGAAGUAGAGCGGGGCGUGAGGUACCACGUGAGACACGUUGAAGCCGAGAAACGGGAAAAGUGGUGCCGCGAGAUGCAUGUGGUCUAUGUUCACGAUGGAGGGGCUCGUUACACAUGCGAAUGUGGGCUGUUUGAACACAUGGGGAUGCUCUGUUGUCAUGCUAUCAAGGUUUUGAUUCAUUUGGGGGUCAGGAAGAUACCGCGUGCUCAUGUCAUGAAGAGGUGGACUAUAGAUGCCCGAGACAACUUGCCGCUGCACCUCCUCCAUUAUCAAAAAGAUCAAGGGCCUCCGCGGUUGUCAUCAUACAGACAUACGGCGCUACACCUCACUGCCCUCGAGUUUGUGCAGCUUGGUGAUAGCAACGUUGAUGCGUUCGAUAGAGCAAUUGACAUUUUGAAUGCAGGCAAGGCGGAGCUGUCAGUUCUGGCAGCGACCAAGGAUGGCAAAAGUUUGGUGGACCAAACUCAGGUUGGUGACUCAGCCAGUCCGACGCAUGCUCUGGAUGGUGGCGGUUCUCGCGUAGAUGAUAUGUCCUCUGAGAUGUUCGUCUCCACCGAGUGUGGUCUUAGCUCUGUUUCUGGGGGUGCUGGGUCUAGUAGUUCAUUGUCGAUGCUGCUAGCGCCGGAUAGGAAGAAGCAAAAGGGCAGACCGACUACGGCGAGGGACAAGCCUGGAUACGAGGUCCAAGACAAACGUUCAAGGUUCUGUACGGUUUGUAGGGAGAAGGGGCACAAGAGCACGACGUGCCCCCGCAGGGGUGAUCUUCCAAAGAAGCCUCGCAAAAUUCCUACAUGUGGCAAUUGUGGUGUUGCUGGGCACAAGAAAACAAGUUGUUUCAACCCGGUGUUGCCGUUUGUGAAGAGUCCUCGAGACGGACCAGUCGAGUGA
rnacentral:rRNA from 1 species